UGGGGAAUUUUGGACAAUGGGCGCAAGCCUGAUCCAGCCAUGCCGCGUGCGGGAAGAAGGCCUUCGGGUUGUAAACCGCUUUUGUCAGGGAAGAAAUCUUCUGAGUUAAUACCUCGGGAGGAUGACGGUACCUGAAGAAUAAGCACCGGCUAACUACGUGCCAGCAGCCGCGGUAAUACGUAGGGUGCAAGCGUUAAUCGGAAUACUGGGCGUAAAGCGUGCGCAGGCGGUUUUGUAAGACAGAGGUGAAAUCCCCGGGCUCAACCUGGGAACUGCCUUUGUGACUGCAAGGCUUGAGUGCGGCAGAGGGGGAUGGAAUUCCGCGUGUAGCAGUGAAAUGCGUAGAUAUGCGGAGGAACACCGAUGGCGAAGGCAAUCCCCUGGGCCUGCACUGACGCUCAUGCACGAAAGCGUGGGGAGCAAACAGGAUUAGAUACCCUGGUAGUCCACGCCCUAAACGAUGUCAACUGGUUGUUGGGAAGGUUCCUUCUCAGUAACGUAGCUAACGCGUGAAGUUGACCGCCUGGGGAGUACGGCCGCAAGGUUGAAACUCAAAUGAAUUGACGGGGU
rnacentral:rRNA from 1 species